rnacentral:rRNA from 1 species
AUACGGAGGGUGCAAGCGUUACUCGGAAUCACUGGGCGUAAAGCGCGCGCAGGCGGGCUGAUAAGUUGGAUGUGAAAGCCUACGGCUCAACCGUAGAACUGCAUCCAAAACUGUCAGUCUAGAGUCUGGGAGGGGAAGAUGGAAUUAGUUGUGUAGGGGUAAAAUCCGUAGAGAUAACUAGGAAUACCAAAAGCGAAGGCAAUCUUCUGGAACACUACUGACGCUGAGGCGCGAAAGCGUGGGGAGCAAACAGGAUUAGAUACCCGAGUAGUCC